UUGUUCAAAGUUCUUUGACUGGAAUCUUUGAAGAACUGAUUUUACAAAACCCUAUAAUGUAUGCUGCUAGCUGCUUAUA